AGGGAGCUGGGGCAGCCUGCUGUGCGGAGCUGGGGGAGGAGGAGGGAGCCCUGGGGGACAGACAGAAGGACCAUCGAAGGAGAAACCCUGCUGGCCUCGGGACCUGGAGGAAAGAACCAGGGCCCGUGCUCCUUGGGCCAGGAUCCGGCGAUUGGACGGAACCUCUCGGAUUCCCCAGUGCUGUGAAAUCCACUUGGGGCCAUCACACCCUUCAUUGCUGUGCUCCCUGGCAGAACUCGAAUGCAGCGUGAGCUGGGCACUUUUCCCAGGGUUUGCUCUAGGUCUGGGUCUCCCAUCAGCUCCCCCGGAGCAGAGCCUGAGGCAAGGAUUCUUGUUCGGGGGCAUCUUCCUCUCAGCACCGUGCUUUGGGAAUCGAGUGAUGGUGCUGAGUGAACCCCUGAGUGAACAUCUGUGGCUUCCUCCCACCUCGUCUCUGGAUGCACUCCUGUUCGAAUGGGUGUCUGUACAUGCUUGUCCCCUCCCCACGGUGGCGUGCUCAAUGGUGGCUCCCCACAGAUAUGUCCGUGUCCUAAUUCCCGGAGCCUUUGGGUCUCAUGUAGCCAAUGAUGUGAAAAAGUGAAGGAUGCUGAGAGGAGAUCAUCCAGAACUACUGCCCUGGCCCCUCAGCUUGUGGGAGGCGACGGUGAAGGUCAGGAGCAACGUCCUCUGUAACCAGACCUGUCGCCGCCGCUUUCCUUCCAACCACACUGAGCGGUUUGAGCGGCUCAUCAAGGACGACAUGCUGUGUGCCGGGGACGGGAACCACGGCUCCUGGCCAGGCGACAACGGGGGCCCCCUCCUGUGCAGGCGGAAUUGCACCUGGGUCCAGGUGGAGGUGGUGAGCUGGGGCAAACUCUGCGGCCUUCGCGGCUAUCCCGGCAUGUACACCCGCGUGACGAGCUACGUGUCCUGGAUCCGCCAGUACGUCCCGCCGUUCCCCAGACGCUAGCUGGGGUGCAGUGGGGUCUGCAUGAUCCAGGAGGGCCCGUCUUCCUUGUGGACACCCCUGCUGCUCCCCCGUCUCAGCCUCACCCUCCCGCAGAUCCCUGCCCCGAGACCCUUCUGCUCCUCUCGGUCUCUCAAGGCUCUGUGUUUCCCUGCCAGCAGGGGGCUCGGGGAGCCGGGUAGGGGCCCUCAAAGAUGAGUCGGGAGUGGAAACAGAAUCCCAGAAAUCCUAGACGGCUGCUUGUGACUUGACUCCAUUAAACAGUGUGGAAACCGC
ensembl:lncRNA novel transcript